rnacentral:lncRNA from 1 species
AGUGCUGCCUUGCGCCUGCGGGAACAGGGCCCGGCCCCGGCGCUUUAGGCGCGGAAACUACCUUUCCCAGAGACCCCUCCACGCCGACCUCAGCGCGCUCAUUGCAACUUACAGAAUCGGUUCCGUUCCGUUCGCUUUAGAACCAGGUCUCUGCCUUGCACUAAGGCGCAGGAAGAUGCAGAUCAGCGAAAAGCUGAAGAUGGGGCAAGGGAGGUUAGUCCAGGGGAGCGACGCCCGAUCGCUGACGAGAGAGGAUCGGGAGGGUCCGGAAGACGGAGUGGGAGGCGACAGGGCGCGUUCCUGACUGGGACCGCGCCGAAAAGGCCUGGAAGGCAACAGAAUUGCCCCUUGGCCUGGCAAGCGCCCGACACUUCCAGCCUGGCACUGCGGGCGGGCCAGCGUGUGCUGGGGUGGCGACGCCACAGCCACUAACGCGUGUGCGGUGCGGGAGGACAAGGAUGUCGGGCAGGGAUGUCCUGCUUGGCACCUCAGGACAGAGCCCAUGGUGGCUGGCGGCCCCUGGAAUGUUCGGGACGCAGAACACUUCGUGCUUGGGAACUUCUCAGAGGUGGGGACGAGGGAGAGGAAGGCGCCUGGAUGCCAGGAAGUCUCCAUCUUGGACAGCUGGGUGGUAUUUAAGAAGGUGGUAUUUAUUUUUGUCGACCAUAUUUUGCAGAGACUGGCAAGGAUGAGAUGAUGCCUAAGAAUAUCCAACUGGAGAUACUUAGUUGCUUUUGAAUAGGUAAUUUGCAUGGAGCUCAGGAAGGAAAGAUGAGAGGGUUUUAACUUUGUUGGUCGUUAAAAAAAAUCAAGAAUGUGACCUGUUUGUCACAUACGGAAUUGUUGGCCACGUUUUAGGAAGCAGUGUCAGUGACUACAGCAUUCUGUUUGGAGUUUUAUUGAAGAUUUCAUUCCAUAGACACUUUGGAGCACUUAUGUGUCAAGUGCUUGACAAGGCCAGGGUCAGCCGCUGUGCAGCCCCUGUAGCAGUUCCCAGGGACCCGGCAAAGCACCAGAGGGGGAGGAUGUUGUGUGAGUAUCGCUGGUAACCCUUCUCUCUCGCCUCCCUCGUGACUCCAGGUCACUCAAACUGGGCUCCAGAGAGUAAGAACCCCGAGUCCAGGGGCUGGAGAAAUAGCUGUGAAAACCCUGCACUCAUGGAGUUUUAAUUGUACUAGAGGAGGGGUCAGACAAGUAGAAAGUAUUUAUCUGGUAGUGAUAACACUACUGUUAGGGGUUAGGGUGUGAUGGGGCGGGGAAUUAUUUCAAGCAGCAGUUUUGGAAGUUCUCUUUGAGGAGGUAACACCUGAGCAGAGAUUUGAAUACAGUGAGGGCCUACUGAACAAGGAAGACUGCGAGAUGCUGUUGCAGGAGUAACUACAGGCCUUGAAGGAAGGAAAUUUGGAUUUAUUUCUGUGCCUGGAAAUGAUUAGAUUUGAAAGAGUGACAUGGCUGGGCACGUUUUGAUAGACGCACUGGUCAGCUUCAAAGAAGGCAGACAGUGGUGGGGCUAGAGGGGAUACAGGAAGACCAAUGAGGAGGCAAUGACAGCAGUCCACAAUUACAAGUAGCCUCCCACAAUUAUAUAACCUUUCCACAAGGCAUUUGCUUUGAGAGCCUAAUGAUUCUAAGAUAUUGAAGGGUUUUGGGUGCUAUGCUCAGGAGUUUGGAUAUUAUUGUUUUCAGGAAUUUAAGAAUGAUAAUAUGUAUUGAGCACUAACUACAUGUUGGGAGUUUUUUUGUUUGAGACACAGUUUCACUUUUGUUGCCCGGGCUGGGGUGCAAUGGCAUGACCUCGGCUUACCGCAAGCUCCGCCUCCCGGGUUCAAGCAAUUCUCCUGCCUCAGCCUCCCCUGUAGCUGGGACUACAUGCAUGCGCCAUCACGCCUGGAUAAUUUUGUACUUUUAGUAGAGAUGGGGUUUCCCCAGGUUGGUCAGGCUGAACUCCUGACUUCAGGUGAUCCGCCCGCAUCGGCCCCCUAAAGUGCUGGGAUUACAGGCAUGAGCCACUGCGCCUGGCCAUGUUGGGCACUUUUACAAGCACUUUACAUUAUCUAAUGCAACCAAAAACUGAGGUUUGCCCUAUUAAUAAAUGAGAAAACUGAGGCACUCAUCUGUUAAGUGCCUUGCUCAGGUCCCAUGUCCUUGGAACCAGGAGUCCUUCUCCUGUUGAUGUUGGAAGGUUCAAAAGUGCUCUUAUUACUUGUCACCCAGAUGGCAAAGAACUGACAUACAAAGGCCCAAGUCUUCCAGAACUGAAAACAGUAAUAAAACCUUCAUUUAUCUG